rnacentral:tRNA from 1 species
UCCCUGGUGGCUCAGAUGGUAAAGCAUCUGCCUGCAAUGCAGGAGACCCGAGUUCGAUCCCUGGGUCGGGAA